AUUUGACCAAUAGAGUCACUAAGAUAUGAUUGAGUAUCUUGAUAUUAGGGAGAAAAGUUAUUUUCAUAUUUAGAAUAUUGGCAUUGAGCAGGAUUACAAAUUUUGACCAUUUUAUCCCUAAGAUUUUAAGGUUAAUUAAUAGGGAAGUAAUGGCAUUUUUGGUAUUAGCCUUAAGUGGAUUUCGUCAUUUCCCACUUAGUGGAAUAGUUAGAAAGAAGAAUUUUAUUUGAGCUUAAUUAUAUUAGGAAAAAUAAAGGAAAAUCAAGUUUAAGAAUAAUUAUAAUUAAGAAAUCAAUCACCCUUAUCUCUUUGCUCUUUCUCUCAGCUACCUUAGAACCAAAGGAAGCACUGACCUUUUUCCACCUGUCAAACCAUUUCAAGCUUAGUUUCAGCUAGGAAUUCAAGUGUUAAUUGAAGAAGAAAUCCCAAGAAUGGAAGUGUAUUAUGAGAGUGGAUGGACCCCAACAGGUCUGUAGAAAUGGAUGAUGUCAUUUACUGGUUAAAAAUCUCAGCCGUCCAUGGUGGUUGUGUUUUUUAUGUGGAUAUGUUUUGAGUUGUGAGGAUAUGAUUCAAUUUGAACACAUGACAUAUCAUGUGACGGAUGUGGAUCUUCUUUUAUAGAAACAAACUCAGUAGAAAAAUAAUUUCCACCAAAAGGAAAAAAAAAAAAAAACCAUAUUCCUAUACUUUAAUGAUAUAUAAUAAUUAAUAAAGAAAAUAGGGAGGCAUGAGUGAGAAGGAUAAUGGUUGUUGAGUGCAACCUGAUUGGUAGAAAAUAAAGUCUGUGGAAGUGCCCCAGUUGAACAGAUAAGUACUCACUUGGUCUAAUCUUACUACAUAACGGGGGAUGUUGAUGAUGAUAAUGACUAUAAUCGAUUUUGUCUCUCACGUUAGAACUAGUUUCCAAUGGUACUAGAAUUCAUUUUGUUUUAUGUCAAGUUUAAAACUUUGAGCUUAACAUUUGUUCGAUCAUGUUCAUAAAUAGAUAUAAAGAUUGUUCUUUUUCCCA